rnacentral:rRNA from 11 species
UGGCAAUGCUAAAUAUCAUAAACGUAUCAGAUUCCGACUAAUCUUGAAAGCUAAGCAGGGUUGGCUCUGGUUAGUACUUGGAUGGGAGACCGUCCAUGAAAACAAAGCAACAUUUCAGA